UACGGAGGGAGCUAGCGUUGUUCGGAAUUACUGGGCGUAAAGCGCGCGUAGGCGGCUUUGUAAGUUAGAGGUGAAAGCCCGGGGCUCAACCCCGGAACUGCCUUUAAGACUGCAUCGCUUGAAUCCGGGAGAGGUGAGUGGAAUUCCGAGUGUAGAGGUGAAAUUCGUAGAUAUUCGGAAGAACACCAGUGGCGAAGGCGCUCAUCUGGCCCAAUACUGACGCUGAGGCGCGAAAGCUAGGGGAGCAAACGGG
rnacentral:rRNA from 1 species